UGCCAGCCGCCGCGGUAAUACGGAGGGUGCGAGCGUUGUCCGGAUUUAUUGGGUUUAAAGGGUGCGUAGGCGGCCUAUUAAGUCAGAUGUGAAAGUCCACGGCUCAACCGUGGAAGUGCAUUUGAAACUGGAUAGCUUGAGUACUGGAGGGGGUGGUGGAAUUCCCGGUGUAGAGGUGAAAUCUGUAGAUAUCAAGAGGAAUACCUAUGGCGAAGGCACCUUACUGGUCAAUUACUGACGCUGAACUGCGAAAGCUCGGGUAGCAAACAGGAUUAGAUA
rnacentral:rRNA from 1 species